CCUACGGGAGGCUGCAGUGGGGAAUAUUGGACAAUGGGGGCAACCCUGAUCCAGCCAUGCCGCGUGUGUGAAGAAGGCCCUCGGGUUGUAAAGCACUUUCAGUGAGGAAGAACGCCUGGUGGUUAAUACCCAUCAGGAAAGACAUCACUCACAGAAGAAGCACCGGCUAACUCCGUGCCAGCAGCCGCGGUAAUACGGAGGGUGCGAGCGUUAAUCGGAAUUACUGGGCGUAAAGCGCGCGUAGGUGGCUUGAUAAGCCGGUUGUGAAAGCCCCGGGCUCAACCUGGGAACGGCAUCCGGAACUGUCAAGCUAGAGUGCAGGAGAGGAAGGUAGAAUUCCCGGGGCAGAGGUGAAAUGCGUAGAGAUCGGGAGGAAUACCAGUGGCGAAGGCGGCCUUCUGGACUGACACUGACACUGAGGUGCGAAAGCGUGGGUAGCAAACAGGAUUAGAGACCCGAGUAGUC
rnacentral:rRNA from 1 species